UUUGUUAAUGAAAAACUUUCAACAACGGAUCUCUUGGUUCUCGCAUCGAUGAAGAACGCAGCAAAGCGCGAUAGGUAAUGCGAAUUGCAGACGUGAGUCAUUGAAUCUUUGAACGCACAUUGCGCCAGUUUACUGGCAUACUGCGUUGAGCGUCG
rnacentral:rRNA from 1 species